ACUACUUUCCUUCCUGACAGCAGCAGACAGCCUGAGACCUUCAGACUCUAGAGCAUUUAAGAUGACACGCAGAACCUGAUACAAUGCAAAGCAGUAAUGCUAUGUUAUGAGACACCUGAAAAGGGAUGAAUAAGCAAUGCCUGCUGUCUUAUCACUGGAAGAUGCCUUGUUACCCUGUGCCAAAACUUCAAUUAGGCUUAUCAACACCCUUGAAGAAUGAGGAAUGAAAAACAGAGCUUCUUGCGGCCUUUGAGCUUACCAGCCAGGGAGCACACUACAUCAAUAAGAUGAUAGUGAAUAUAGGAUUAACAGGUACAUACCCAAUGAAGCUUACUGUCCAACCAGAAGCAACGUAUAAACUAUUCUUCAAAACUUUUCAGAAUCAUCAAACAUCUUACAAAGAUGCUAAAACACAGCAAGAGAAAACAAUUUUAAAACAGGGUUAAAAAUAAAGCAAAAGGAGAACAAGGAUGGGAAGAGGAAAUGGUGAUGUGAAACAAGUGAACAGAAUGUGUGCCCGGAGUCCUGUAAGAGAACUCAAGAAGGCUUAAACGUUACAGCAGUACUUAAGUAGAAGAGUACCAAAGCUCCAUCCUUUGAUUUUUAUGUGCCAUGAGCUAAUGUUUACCACCUUUGUAUUACCCAAAUGAUAACAUGAAAAUUAUUAAA